rnacentral:ncRNA from 1 species
UUAAAUUUUAAUUUUAAAUUAAAUAUUAAUUAAAAUUUUUAUUUAUAUAAAAAAUUUUCUUAUAAGAAUUUAAAUAAUACAAAUAAAAUUAAUAUAUAAAAUUAUUAUAAAAAUUCAUAUUUAUUUAAAUAAAAUUAUAAUAUAAAUAAAAUUUGUGCCAGCAAUUGCGGUUAAACAUGUUAUAUAAAUUAAUAUAUCUCAAUUAAAAUAAUAUAAAAAUAAAUUUAAAAUAAAAAUUAUUUUUUAAUUAAAUAUAAAUAAUUUAAAAUUUAAAAUUAAUUUAUCAAUAAAUUUUUAAAAUUUUUUAAAUAAACUAGGAUUAGAUACCCUAUUAUUAAAAUACUAAACAUUAAUUAAAAAAUUAAGUAUUAAUUUACAAAAUUUAAAAAAUUUGACAGUAUUUUAUUUUUAGAGGAACUUAUUUUAUAAUAGAUAAUAAACUAUAAAAAAUACUUAAAUUAAAUUUAUAUAUUGUUGUUUUAAAAUUUAAUUUUUAAAUAAAUAAUUUAUUAAAUCUAUAAGAAUAUAAUUCAAAUCAUAAUUUAAUUUAUAUUUAAGAAAAAAAGAGUUACAUUUAUUAAUUUAUAAUUUAAUAAAAUUAAAUUUUAUUAAAAAAAAGAAUUUAAUAUUAAAAUAAUUUAAAUAAAAUAAUUUAAAUUUUUAAUAAAAUAUGUACAUAUUGCCCGUCAUUCUCAAUUAUUGAGACAAGUCGUAACAAAGUAAAAUUACUGGAAAGUAAUUUUAGAAUUUA